rnacentral:rRNA from 1 species
GAUGAACGCUGGCGGCGUGCCUAAUACAUGCAAGUCGAGCGAACGGACGAGAAGCUUGCUUCUCUGAUGUUAGCGGCGGACGGGUGAGUAACACGUGGAUAACCUACCUAUAAGACUGGGAUAACUUCGGGAAACCGGAGCUAAUACCGGAUAAUAUUUUGAACCGCAUGGUUCAAAAGUGAAAGACGGUCUUGCUGUCACUUAUAGAUGGAUCCGCGCUGCAUUAGCUAGUUGGUAAGGUAACGGCUUACCAGGGCAACGAUGCAUAGCCGACCUGAGAGGGUGAUCGGCCACACUGGAACUGAGACACGGUCCAGACUCCUACGGGAGGCAGCAGUAGGGAAUCUUCCGCAAUGGGCGAAAGCCUGACGGAGCAACGCCGCGUGAGUGAUGAAGGUCUUCGGAUCGUAAAACUCUGUUAUUAGGGAAGAACAUAUGUGCAAGUAACUGUGCACAUCUUGACGGUACCUAAUCAGAAAGCCACGGCUAACUACGUG